rnacentral:rRNA from 1 species
CUACGUGCCAGCAGCCGCGGUAAUACGUAGGUGGCAAGCGUUGUCCGGAAUUAUUGGGCGUAAAGCGCGCGCAGGCGGAUCAGUUAGUCUGUCUUAAAAGUUCGGGGCUUAACCCCGUGAUGGGAUGGAAACUGCUGAUCUAGAGUAUCGGAGAGGAAAGUGGAAUUCCUAGUGUAGCGGUGAAAUGCGUAGAUAUUAGGAAGAACACCAGUGGCGAAGGCGACUUUCUGGACGAAAACUGACGCUGAGGCGCGAAAGCCAGGGGAGCGAACGGGAUUAGAUACCCCGGUAGUCCUGGCCGUAAACGAUGGGUACUAGGUGUAGGAGGUAUCGACCCCUUCUGUGCCGGAGUUAACGCAAUAAGUACCCCGCCUGGGGAGUACGACCGCAAGGUUGAAACUCAAAGGAAUUGACGGGGGCCCGCACAAGCGGUGGAGUAUGUGGUUUAAUUCGACGCAACGCGAAGAACCUUACCAGGUCUUGACAUCCCGGUGCCCGUCCUAGAGAUAGGAUUUUG